GCAACGGCCCUUUUCAGAGCCAUCAAAUGUGUGGAAAAAAUUGAAA
rfam:Aedes aegypti strain Liverpool supercont1.197 genomic scaffold, whole genome shotgun sequence.